rnacentral:rRNA from 1 species
GACGAACGCUGGCGGCGUGCUUAACACAUGCAAGUCGAACGAAGAGCGAUGGAAGCUUGCUUCUAUCAAUCUUAGUGGCGAACGGGUGAGUAACGCGUAAUCAACCUGCCCUUCAGAGGGGGACAACAGUUGGAAACGACUGCUAAUACCGCAUACGAUCUGACCUCGGCAUCGAGGAUAGAUGAAAGGUGGCCUCUACAUGUAAGCUAUCACUGAAGGAGGGGAUUGCGUCUGAUUAGCUAGUUGGAGGGGUAACGGCCCACCAAGGCGAUGAUCAGUAGCCGGUCUGAGAGGAUGAACGGCCACAUUGGGACUGAGACACGGCCCAGACUCCUAAGGGAGGCAGCAGUGGGGAAUCUUCCGCAAUGGACGAAAGUCUGACGGAGCAACGCCGCGUGAGUGAUGACGGCCUUCGGGUUGUAAAGCUCUGUUAAUCGGGACGAAAGGCCUUUUUGCGAAUAGUGAGAAGGAUUGACGGUACCGGAAUAGAAAGCCACGGCUAACUACGUG